rnacentral:rRNA from 1 species
UACGAAGGGGGCUAGCGUUGUUCGGAAUUACUGGGCGUAAAGCGCACGCAGGCGGAUUGAUAAGUCAGGGGUGAAAUCCCGGGGCUCAACCUCGGAAUUGCCUUUGAUACUGUCUGUCUUCGAGUUCGGGAGAGGUUGGCGGAAUUCCUAGUGUAGAGGUGAAAUUCGUAGAUAUUAGGAAGAACACCAGUGGCGAAGGCGGCAUCCUGGACCAAUUCUGACGCUGAGUGAGCGAAAGCCAGGGGAGCAAACGGG